GCAAGAGAACAGCAGGCAUCUGGAGAUAAGGGCGCUGUGGCAUGUGUAAAACAGUGGAAUAUAAAUCCUGAAUCAAAUUCCUUCCUAAACAAAUGGACCAUGUGCAAGAUAAAGCAAACCACUGAGAAACAAGGCUGCUGAAAGAUGGAGUGCCUUUUCCCUAGAAGAGACUGUUGUCACUGUGAUCCUUGUCCCCAUCCCCUUUGGAGCAACUGUCUGCACCUCUCUGAUGUCCUUUGUCACUAUUUUAUGCCUAAUGGAGAAAGAGAAAAGCUGCUGUGUUUCCCUGAAUUUCAACAGCAUGGAUCAACAGUUCUGCAGACACUUGACCUGUCGCCAAAGGGAUGCCAUGGAAACAGCAUCGGGUGAAGAUGGCCAGGAACACACACCCAUGCAGGAGACCAUCACAACUAAUUAAUCUCCUGAUUAAAGAGAGCAUUGGCAAAAUCUCCAGCUCUUCCCUUCUGUGCUGAGCAGUUGCUAUUGGUCUAUGUUCAUGUGCAAAUAUACCUGAUAGGCAUGUGCUUGUUAUCUCUAGAUUUGUGUUUAUUUACCACUUCAAUUUUUAGUGAGGAUACAAUUCAGGAUACCAGUUCUUGGCCACUGUUUGUUUUGCAAAGUAAACAUGAAGCAAUUGA